rnacentral:rRNA from 1 species
GACGUAGGGAGCGAGCGUUGUCCGGAUUCAUUGGGCGUAAAGAGCGCGCAGGCGGUUUGGUAAGUCGGAUGUGAAAACCCGGGGCUCAACCCCGGGCGUGCAUCUCGAUACUGCCCGACUAGAGGUAGGUAGGGGAGAUCGGAAUUCCUGGUGUAGCGGUGAAAUGCGCAGAUAUCAGGAGGAACACCGAUGGCGAAGGCAGGUCUCUGGGCAUUAACUGACGCUGAGGAGCGAAAGCGUGGGGAGCGAACAGG